rnacentral:rRNA from 1 species
GAUGAACGCUGGCGGCGUGCUUAACACAUGCAAGUCGAACGGUGAACGAGGGAGCUUGCUCCCUCCGGAUCAGUGGCGAACGGGUGAGUAACACGUGAGCAAUCUGCCCUGGACUCUGGGAUAAGCGUUGGAAACGACGUCUAAUACCGGAUACGAGGCGUGGGGGCAUCCCCAACGCCUGGAAAGAACUUCGGUCCAGGAUGAGCUCGCGGCCUAUCGGCUUGUUGGUGAGGUAACGGCUCACGAAGGCGACGACGGGUAGCCGGCCUGAGAGGGUGACCGGCCACACUGGGACUGAGACACGGCCCAGACUCCUACGGGAGGCAGCAGUGGGGAAUAUUGCACAAUGGGCGCAAGGCUGAUGGAGCAACGCCGCGUGAGGGACGACGGCCUUCGGGUUGUAAACCUCUUUUAGCAGGGAAGAAGCGAAAGUGACGGUACCUGCAGAAAAAGCACCGGCUAACUACGUGCCAGCCGCCGCGGUAACAC